AUUGAACGCUGGCGGCAGGCCUAACACAUGCAAGUCGAACGAGUGGCGGACGGGUGAGUAAUGUCUGGGAAACUGCCUGAUGGAGGGGGAUAAAUACUGGAAACGGUAGCUAAUACCGCAAAGUAGCAGAUGAGCGUAGGUCGGAUUAGCUAGUUGGUGGGGUAAAGGCCUACCAAGGCGACGAUCCGUAACUGGUCUGAGAGGAUGAUCAGCCACACUGGAACUGAGACACGGUCCAGACUCCUACGGGAGGCAGCAGUUGGGAAUCUUGGACAAUGGGCGAAAGCCUGAUCCAGCCAUGCCGCGUGUGUGAAGAAGGUCUUCGGAUUGUAAAGCUCUUUUAUUUGGGAGGCGUUACCAACAGAAUAAGCACCGGCUAACUUCGUGCCAGCAGCCGCGGUAAUUC
rnacentral:rRNA from 1 species